rnacentral:tRNA from 1 species
GGGUUCGUAGCUCAGUUGGUUAGAGCGCAUGCUCGACACGCAUGAGGCCCCUGGUUCGAAUCCAGGCGGACCCA